GGGGUGCCUAAUACAUGCAAGUCGAGCGAACAGGAUAAGGAGCUUGCUCCUUUGACGUUAGCGGCGGACGGGUGAGUAACACGUGGAUAACCUACCUAUAAGACUGGGAUAACUUCGGGAAACCGGAGCUAAUACCGGAUAACAUAUUGAACCGCAUGGUUCAAUAGUGAAAGGCGGCUUUGCUGUCACUUAUAGAUGGAUCCGCGCCGUAUUAGCUAGUUGGUAAGGUAACGGCUUACCAAGGCAACGAUACGUAGCCGACCUGAGAGGGUGAUCGGCCACACUGGAACUGAGACACGGUCCAGACUCCUACGGGAGGCAGCAGUAGGGAAUCUUCCGCAAUGGGCGAAAGCCUGACGGAGCAACGCCGCGUGAGUGAUGAAGGUCUUCGGAUCGUAAAACUCUGUUAUCAGGGAAGAACAAAUGUGUAAGUAACUGUGCACAUCUUGACGGUACCUGAUCAGAAAGCCACGGCUAACUACGUGCCAGCAGCCGCGGUAAUACGUAGGUGGCAAGCGUUAUCCGGAAUUAUUGGGCGUAAAGCGCGCGUAGGCGGUUUUUUAAGUCUGAUGUGAAAGCCCACGGCUCAACCGUGGAGGGUCAUUGGAAACUGGAAAACUUGAGUGCAGAAGAGGAAAGUGGAAUUCCAUGUGUAGCGGUGAAAUGCGCAGAGAUAUGGAGGAACACCAGUGGCGAANG
rnacentral:rRNA from 1 species